CACAUACUCCCUCCGUCCGAAAAUACUUGUCAUCAAAAUGAAUAAAAAGAGAUGUAUCUAGAACUAAAAUACAUCUAGAUACAUCCCCUUUUAUCUAGUUUAAUGACAAGUAUUUCCGGACGGAGAAAGUAGUUG
rfam:Triticum aestivum genome assembly, contig: Triticum_aestivum_CS42_TGACv1_scaffold_405489_5BL